AGAUUGCAUGCCGGGUGUUCGACUUUGCCCCUCAUUUCUGUGUCCUUGCUGAGUCACGCUCUCUUCUCUUUCCAGAGGACUGAGUCGUCGACGGCAAGAAUCAACAGCUCUGAGGACGUGAAAGCUCGAUCUGAGAAAUACCGGAGAACUUGAUCUGGAUAAUACCAGCGAAAGGACAUGCCUUCUUUGACAU
rnacentral:ncRNA from 1 species